UUAAUCCUUCAUACUUGCACUUUUUCCGUCACAAACAGGAAACUCCGAAGAAAAGGAAAUAGAAAAAAGCCUAUUUUUGCUAAGAGGAAUAACGGCAUUGCUUCCAACCCCCACAGUGAGUGAACAAAUGAAAAAGCAACGGGAGGAAGUGACGGGGGGGCCAUGGCACCCCCUCCUCCGCCUCGCUCUUCUCACCGCCGCCGCCACGACCACGCUCUGCACUCCCGCUCCCA
rnacentral:lncRNA from 1 species